UUGAUAAGGAAAAAAAGAAUAUAUUUUCCUGUAACCACAAUUAUACUAGAAGUACAUAUAAAACGAGAAUCAUCGCUAAAACAUUAUUAGUAAUGAUCCAGAAUCAACGUAGGAUGGAGCGUUUAUUAGCUAUUGUUUUCUUCUUUCUGGCUAUGGUGCUGAUGGGAAAUGCGCAAGUUUGCACUACGGAGUAUGAUCCAGUCUGCAGCACCGAUGGGGUAACAUACAGCAAUUAUUGUAUGCUCGAAGCAGCUGGAGCAGAAUAUGCUUACGACGGAGUAUGCCAGUGAAUAAAAGAAUACAUUAUAAUACUAUAAAUAUCAUUGAUAUAUUUAGUAGUAGCCCGCCAAAGAUAUUGGAAGCGGCUCACAAAUAUCUAGAGUCGGGUUAAAUAUAUUUAUUAUAACUCUGUAUGUUAGCACACUAGAUUUAUAACAUUGAUUUGUCUUUUGCUGUUAUAAUUAUUAUUAAUGAAUUUGGCCGGCAGCACACCUGCAAUGCCGCUGGUGUUGUGGGUGAUCAUGGGCGGCGGUAGUCACUUACCAUCAGGUGAGCCGCAUGCUCGUUUGCCCCUGCGUUGUAAAAAAAAAAUAAAAUAAAAAUUAUCAGUCAACUAAAUGGUAGACAUUUUGAACAGAAUUAUCUUAAUUUAAAAAUAAAAAUAUUUUAUAAAACAUAACUUACUCGUAUAUUAUAAAUAUUAAUUUUUCGACUUUCCUACACCAUGUUUUAUGUUUUUUAAAGGCGGGAUUUAAUACAAUUAUUUAUUAAGUUAGAUUAUGGUAAUUUACCCGAAUUAUUUUGACAUUUCGACCAGGACGUCUCGAGUGGACUGACGUGAUGAUAUGUGUGAAUCAGAGUAUAUUCUGUGCUCCUAAUGUCUAUAGUCGACGGCUACCACUUUACAAUAUGAGGGCGUCAGUAUAUUUGCCAUUUUAAGUCGUAUAAAAAAUGAAAUCAUCCGCAAUUUUUUUUAAAAACGAUCCCAUCUUUACUACGUCUAUAAAUUAUAUUAGCAUAAUUUAAUUUAUUCAAUAUGCUUUAUAAUAAAAUCUAUUUCAAUUUAUCUAAAUAAAAAUACAAAUGUACAUACAAUGCCAAUAACAAGUGUAAUGAAACCUGAAUAAAUAUUUUUUUGAA